rnacentral:tRNA from 1 species
GGAGAGAUGGGUGAGUGGUUGAAACCGCCGCUCUCGAAAAGCGGUAGGCGGGCAACUGCCUCGUGGGUUCGAAUCCCACUCUCUCCGCCA